ACUUCUGAAUAGUUGACCUCGGAUCAGGUAGGAAUACCCGCUGAACUUAAGCA
rnacentral:rRNA from 1 species